rnacentral:rRNA from 1 species
CCCUUAGAUGUUCUGGGCCGCACGCGCGCUACACUGAUGAAUGCAACAAGUUUUGUUUUCCUUUGCCGAUAGGCAUGGGCAAUCUUUGAAACUUCAUCGUGAUGGGGAUAGAUCUUUGUAAUUUUGGAUCUUGAACGAGGAAUACCUUGUAAGUGCAAGUCAACAACUUGCGCUGAAUACGUCCCUGCUCUUUGUACACACCGCCCGUCGCUCCUACCGAUUGGAUGGUCCGAUGAGGUUUUCGGAGGUUUUGGGUGAUUCUGGCAACAGAGCCCCAGAGGCUGAAGUUACCCUAAUCUUAUCAUCUAGAGGAAGGAGAAGUCGCAACA